UACGUAGGGGCCUAGCGUUGUCCGGAUUUAUUGGGCGUAAAGAGCUCGUAGGCGGUUUGGUAAGUCGGGUGUGAAAUCUCCACGCUCAACGUGGAGGGGCCACCCGAUACUGCCAUGACUGGAGUCCGGAAGAGGAGAGUGGAAUUCCCGGUGUAGCGGUGAAAUGCGCAGAUAUCGGGAAGAACACCCGUGGCGAAGGCGGCUCUCUGGGACGGUACUGACGCUGAGACGCGAAAGCGUGGGGAGCGAACAGG
rnacentral:rRNA from 1 species